GGUGGCUCCCUCUGGUGGUCAGAGAAGAGAGAUUUUAGAUUUGCUCAGAGGUGGAUGGCAGAUAACAUGAGCCAGAGAUUCCCUGAUAUCAGAGACAUUGCUAUACACAGCAAAUAAUUUGAACGUGCCUUUCAUAAGAAAACCAGCUAUUCAGAACCUGGACCCCCUGAGCCACCUCGAAGACAGAAUCCCAGUCUCAGCUCAACCUCAUUUGCUGGCUUACGCUCUGGGAUGCCAUUUACCUGCCCAAAUCCCUCAGGGCCAAUUUCAGUCACCUUGGGGCAGCCUUGUUCCUGAAUCCGCCAAGACUCUAUAGUGAGGGCCCCAGGAGCCUGCUCACUGCCUCCCCCACUCUCUCUUACUAAGACUACACAGCAAGAGGUCCUUGAAUCCAGAGUCCUGGCCACACCCAUGCUGCCUGUGCCUCAGCCUCGUGGGACCACAGCUCUCUCUGCAGUGAGAGAGGUGGUGUGUUGGGCAGGAAAACCCACCUUUGCGUGGCUCAGCAGGAUAAUCCUCACCAGCACCACAUUGAUGUGGGCCCCCAACGACUCAUCAUGGUAGAUUUCGUUGACCUGAAAGACAACAGGGAGAUAUGAUCAGGAACCAUGUGCCAAACUCGAUUCUGGCAUCUUGUCC
rnacentral:lncRNA from 1 species